ensembl:lncRNA
UGUGUGUGUGUGUGUGUGUGUGUGUGUGUGUGCUGUCAGAUUGUAACCGGGAAGGGACUUUUGUUUUGAAAAUACAACUUUAAUUGUGAAGCAGGAAGUGGUCCUCAUGACAGGAAAUACAGGAAGUGCAGAGUCACUUAAGCACAGGUAGUGUGAGUGUUUGGAAAGCAUAUGGUGACUGCUAAUGGGGGACUUAACUUGCUGGCCACUACCAGGGAUGCUACUGGUAAGACAAUGUUUGAUGUUAUCUGGUAAUCUAUUGCAAAAGUGUGCUUUAGUGUUUGAGUGUUGUGGUAGUUUACAUGCACUGUUGUUGUUUGUGUAUUUGAUGGAGGGCAGUUUGUGAGUGCUGUAUUUUAUGUUUGUUUCUUGUAAAGGUUUUCAACCUGAUAAGACGUGUUGCAUUAAAGAAGUAUUUGAACUCAAAUAAAACAAAGAAGAAUGAAGAAACCGUCAGAGUCGUUACCAUUUUAACCCUGUUGAUGGCCAAGGCCUUUUUCAAGUUUGGGCAGAAGUUAAAAAAAUCCCCUGAUAACUUGACAGUGUGUGUGUGUGUCUCUCUGUGUGUGUGUGUGUGUGUCUCUCUGUGUGUGUGUGUGUGUGUGUGUGUGUGUGUAGGUGACCUGAUGUUUGUUAAUGUGAGUGUGCCGUGGGUGGAGGCCCUGCGGUCCUGUGAGCAGAAGGGCCUGAGACUGCUCCACAUCCUGGACGACGCCACCCAGACCCGCCUCACCCAGCUGCUGACCUCCCUGCCGCCCGCCCACCGCCCCCGCCCCGUGCCCACGGCCUGGGUGGCGCUGGAGCGCUGCAUCAUCAACCCCAGUGCCCUCUGGAGGUGGGUGGAGGCUCCGGUGGCAUACGACCGCUGGCACAGCAAGCACCCACGCAACGCCUGCAGCUACCACUGUGGACAGGUGGUGUAUGAGGAGGAGGAGGAGGAGGACGAAGGUGUCUACAGAUGGUGGGACGCCUGCUGCAGGGAGACACACCCCUUCAUCUGUCAGAACAGGACAGCAGCUGCAGUGAUGGCAUGUACCAC